rnacentral:rRNA from 1 species
AGCGAACGCUGGCGGCAGGCUUAACACAUGCAAGUCGAGCGGGCAUCUUCGGAUGUCAGCGGCAAACGGGUGAGUAACACGUGGGAACGUACCCUUCGGUUCGGAACAACUCUGGGAAACUGGAGCUAAUACCGGAUACGCCCUUAUGGGGAAAGGUUUACUGCCGAAGGAUCGGCCCGCGUCUGAUUAGCUAGUUGGUGGGGUAACGGCCUACCAAGGCGACGAUCAGUAGCUGGUCUGAGAGGAUGAUCAGCCACACUGGGACUGAGACACGGCCCAGACUCCUACGGGAGGCAGCAGUGGGGAAUAUUGGACAAUGGGCGCAAGCCUGAUCCAGCCAUGCCGCGUGAGUGAUGAAGGCCUUAGGGUUGUAAAGCUCUUUUGUCCGGGACGAUAAUGACGGUACCGGAAGAAUAAGCCCCGGCUAACUUCGUG